GUUCACCCAACAGAAAUAGUUAAGCCCCUCCUCAACAAUUACCGCCACAUUUGAAUACGACAUUGUUAUUGGUGUAAUUUUUGAAGCCACAAUCACACUUGUAAAGCGAAUUGGCCGAAUUGGGUAAUCUGUCAUCUUGCCUAUUGCGUUUCUGCCGGUUUUUACGUUUUUACAUCUUUACUUGUGUCAAUUUGCCAUUAAUCUCCUUUAUUCACACAAAAUAGUCUUUAUAAAGACUCGUCGGUGUAUUCUAAAGAUAGUCAGGGUUAUAUUAUUCGCGAUCAAGAAAAGUUGUACGCAAACAUGAAUGUCGCCGGUGCUGCUUUCCCUCCACCGAAAAAACGUUCUGCCAAGCACUUUUCAGUUGAAGACAAAACUGGCAUUUUAAAUAUCUUCAAGGCAUAUUCGGAAGACAACCCGGAGGUAUCUAAAACGGAUAAAGUUGAGUUUACGGCUAAAGCAGCAGGUGUAAGCAUUCCGAGUGUCUACAAGAUUCUUCGGGAGUAUACAGAGGUACACGAACUUCAUUCACCUAAAAAAUAUUAUCGACCACGAGCAAUUUUAGACAAUAUUGAUUCCGGAACUAAAAGUAUUCUUCGACGUUUGCUUCAUUCUUUCUUUGAAAGAAAUGAACCACCUACCCUGAGUAAAGUUUUGGCAGUGUUACAC